GUAUGGUAUUGGCUUACCGUGGCAGUGACGGUUAACGGGGGAUUAGGGUUCGAUUCCGGAGAGGGAGCCUGAGAAACGGCUACCACAUCUAAGGAAGGCAGCAGGCGCGCAAAUUACCCAAUUCUAACAGCAUAAGAGAGGUAGUGACAAGAAAUAACAAUACAAGGCAAUUAAAAUGCUUUGUAAUUGGAAUGAUAGAAAUUUAAACACUUUUUAAAGUAUCAAUUGGAGGGCAAGUCUGGUGCCAGCAGCCGCGGUAAUUCCAGCUCCAAUAGCGUAUAUUAAAAUUGUUGCAGUUAAAAAGCUCGUAGUUGAAUUUCUGCUAAAAAUAACCGGUCUGCUUUUAAUAAGAGUGGUAUCUUGGUGUGUUUUUAGUAAUAAUGUCCUUUGAAGUGUUUUUUACUUUAUUGUAAAAAACAAUAUUCAGGAUUUUUACUUUGAGAAAAUUAGAGUGUUUCAAGCAGGCUUACGUUUUGAAUACUGCAGCAUGGAAUAAUAAAAUAGGAUUUUAGUUCUACUUUAUUGGUUUUAAGAACUAAAUUAAUGAUUGAUAGGGACAGUUGGGGGCAUUUGUAUUUAACU
rnacentral:rRNA from 1 species